ACGGCUCAGUAACACGUGGACAACCUGCCCUUAGGACGGGAUAAACCCGGGAAACUGGGUAUAAUACCCGAUAGGUCUCGAUUGCUGGAAUGCAUCGAGAUUUAAAGCUCCGGCGCCUAAGGAUGGGUCUGCGGCCUAUCAGGUAGUAGUGGGUGUAGCGUACCUACUAGCCUACGACGGGUACGGGUUGUGAGAGCAAGAGCCCGGAGAUGGAUUCUGAGACACGAAUCCAGGCCCUACGGGGUGCAGCAGGCGCGAAAACUUUACAAUGCUGGCAACAGCGAUAAGGGAACCUCGAGUGCCAGGUUACAAAUCUGGCUGUCGAGAUGCCUAAAAAGCAUUUCAUAGCAAGGGCCGGGCAAGACCGGUGCCAGCCGCCGCGGUAACACCGGCGGCUCGAGUGGUAACCGUUAUUAUUGGGUCUAAAGGGUCUGUAGCCGGCCGGAUAAGUCUCUUGAGAAAUCUGGCAGCUUAACUGUCAGGCUUUCAGGAGAUACUGUCUGGCUCGAGGCCGGGAGAGGUGAGAGGUACUUCAGGGGUAGGGGUGAAAUCUUGUAAUCCUUGAAGGACCACCAGUGGCGAAGGCGUCUCACCAGAACGGACCUGACGGCAAGGGACGAAAGCUAGGGGCACGAACCGGAUUAGAUACCCGGGUAGUCCUAGCCGUAAACGAUACUCGCUAGGUGUCGGCCACGGUGCGACCGUUGUCGGUGCCGUAGGGAAGCCGUGAAGCGAGCCACCUGGGAAGUACGGCCGCAAGGCUGAAACUUAAAGGAAUUGGCGGGGGAGCAC
rnacentral:rRNA from 1 species